rnacentral:rRNA from 1 species
UACAGAGGUCUCAAGCGUUGUUCGGAUUCAUUGGGCGUAAAGGGUGCGUAGGCGGCCGCGCACGUCAGGUGUGAAAUCCCGGGGCUCAACCCCGGAACUGCACUUGAUACUGCGUUGCUUGAGUACUGGAGAGGAGACUGGAAUUUACGGUGUAGCAGUGAAAUGCGUAGAUAUCGUAAGGAAGACCAGUGGCGAAGGCGAGUCUCUGGACAGUUACUGACGCUGAGGCACGAAGGCCAGGGGAGCAAACGGG